AUUGAACGCUGGCGGCAGGCCUAACACAUGCAAGUCGAGCGGCAGCGGGAAAGUAGCUUGCUACUUUUGCCGGCGAGCGGCGGACGGGUGAGUAAUGCCUGGGAAAUUGCCCAGUCGAGGGGGAUAACAGUUGGAAACGACUGCUAAUACCGCAUACGCCCUACGGGGGAGAGCAGGGGACCUUCGGGCCUUGCGCGAUUGGAUAUGCCCAGGUGGGAUUAGCUAGUUGGUGAGGUAAUGGCUCACCAAGGCUACGAUCCCUAGCUGGUCUGAGAGGAUGAUCAGCCAAACUGGAACUGAGACACAGUACAGACUCCUACGGGAGGCAGCAGUGGGGAAGAUUGCACAAUGGGGGAAACCCUGAUGCAGCCAUGCCGCGUGUGUGAAGAAGGCCUUCGGGUUGUAAAGCACUUUCAGCGAGGAGGAAAGGUUGAUGCCUAAUACGUAUCAACUGUGACGUUACUCGCAGAAGAAGCACCGGCUAACUCCGUGCCAGCCGCCGCAGUAACAC
rnacentral:rRNA from 1 species